GAGCCCGUGGCUCAAUGGUAGAGCGUUCGUCUCAAAUACCAAAGGUCGCGGGUUUG
rfam:Schistocephalus solidus strain NST_G2 genome assembly, scaffold: SSLN_contig0009506